CCAAUGUGGAUAUCCCUGGGAGGUCGCUCUCACUGGGGCUCUGUAGAGGGGGCAUAGGAGAGCACAGGGCUCUGCCCCAUGAUGUAUAGUUCCUUCCCACAAUGUUAGGGGUGAAAUUGGCCCUUGUGUCUGCAUUAACAUACUCCUACAGCUUAUCAGAAUCCUGUGGACAAUGACUGGGGAAACAAACCAUGCAGAAAACAACU
rfam:Tupaia chinensis contig205314, whole genome shotgun sequence.